UACAGAGGGUGCGAGCGUUGUUCGGAAUUACUGGGCGUAAAGCGUGCGCAGGCGGUUGUGUAAGACAGAUGUGAAAUCCCCGGGCUCAACCUGGGAACUGCAUUUGUGACUGCACGGCUCGAGUGCGGCAGAGGGGGAUGGAAUUCCGCGUGUAGCAGUGAAAUGCGUAGAUAUGCGGAGGAACACCGAUGGCGAAGGCAAUCCCCUGGGCCUGCACUGACGCUCAUGCACGAAAGCGUGGGGAGCAAACAGG
rnacentral:rRNA from 1 species